GUUGCUACCAAUUGGUUUUCAAAACGAGCUCUCCGAGUGCGGUACGUAAAAUAUGAAAAGAAAUCAGAGCGAAGAGCUCAAAACCGCACUGCGAGCGAACAAGCGGUAUUAAUACAAUUCAACCAGCUCCUUUAACUGCCGAUCGUCUCCCCCAGAUCGAUUCGGAUUUGGCGACUGCGAAAGAGCGGAGAAAGCUCAAGAGAGCGCGGAGAUGGAGAUGGCCGGUGCCCGGGGGGCUACGGAUAGUCGGGGACAAUGAUAGUGUUGAUAACAAGUGCUUUGCACUGGAUAUGAGAAUGGGAAUCUUCUCCAAAACCCGAAAGCCCUGCACUGCAAGAAAUUCUAUUUGCAAGUUUUCAAAUCUCAAAAAAUCCACGUUUUUAAUACCAUUUCGUUGGGAGAACUCAGUGUUAUACAAUCAAGAGUGUUAAAAAAUAUCUGCUUCAAAUAUUAUUUCUCUUCCAGUUAUGUUUUUAGGCCCACUGUGAGCCGGCGCAGCCCACUGUGCUCGUAAAAAUCACAACUCACGAUCAUCGGUGAUCUACGGUUUUCAGAUUAAAAUGUAGAACAAUGCGGGGACCAUGACUCCUAGGAUUUUGUCUUGUGAAAUGACGAGUAAAUGAAUUAAUAAAUAAGCUCAAAAGGUUUAAUGAACCAAU
rnacentral:misc_RNA from 1 species